rnacentral:rRNA from 1 species
UCCCGCUUGCGGGACGGAUUAGUGGCGAACGGGUGAGUAAUACGUGAGUAACCUGCCCCUGACUCUGGGAUAAGCCUGGGAAACCGGGUCUAAUACUGGAUACUACCUCCCGCCGCAUGGUGGGUGGUGGAAAGGGUUUUACUGGUUUUGGAUGGGCUCACGGCCUAUCAGCUUGUUGGUGGGGUAAUGGCUCACCAAGGCGACGACGGGUAGCCGGCCUGAGAGGGUGACCGGCCACACUGGGACUGAGACACGGCCCAGACUCCUACGGGAGGCAGCAGUGGGGAAUAUUGCACAAUGGGCGCAAGCCUGAUGCAGCGACGCCGCGUGAGGGAUGACGGCCUUCGGGUUGUAAACCUCUUUCAGUAGGGAAGAAGCGAAAGUGACGGUACCUGCAGAAGAAGCGCCGGCUAACUACGUGCCAGCAGCCGCGGUAAUACGUAGGGCGCAAGCGUUGUCCGGAAUUAUUGGGCGUAAAGAGCUCGUAGGCGGUUUGUCGCGUCUGCUGUGAAAGCCCGGGGCUCAACCCCGGGUCUGCAGUGGGUACGGGCAGACUAGAGUGCAGUAGGGGAGACUGGAAUUCCUGGUGUAGCGGUGAAAUGCGCAGAU